rnacentral:lncRNA from 1 species
AGCCUGUUGAUGGUUGUGCUCAUUUUUAUAUUUGUGCAUGAAUUAUGAAUUAAUAAAAAUUAUUUUGGUAUUUUUUCAUCAUAAAAUAUUUCAUCUUCUAAUGAACUCCUAUGUUGUGGUGAAGUCCUUAGGACUAUUUAGACUCGACAAAGGAAGAUUUAUCGUUUAGUCCUUAAAUCUGUUCGUGACCAAAUGAUACGUUGUUACCAAGGAUGACAAUGUUUAUCAAGCAUAGGUCGUUGUAUGCCAUAUAGGUUGGUUGUCCUCUUAACCAAUGAGUGUGGAGACACUGGUAUGGCAUACAGGUGAGAUGUAAGGGUACAUCU